UGGCUCCUUCGCAAGCCAGGCCUGCGUCCCACCUGUUGAGAAAUCGGCUUGCCACGACCAACCAGUCAGCAGGCAUCACUUUGAGUGUGGAUUUGGUGACUGACGCUGCAGCAGCUAUCUUGCCACACUGAAGGAAGUGCUGAGCGUGCCAAAUAUCGAUUGAGCUGCUGAACCAACACCCAGCAUCCAUCCAUGUUGCUAUGUAAGAAGAGCAAAUCCCUAUUGAUAUAACUCCUCUUCCUUAAUCCCACCACAAAACAAGACCAUAGAUGAAACUCUUCAACGUGGCAACAGAGAAAAUCAACCACCUGAUGGAUGAGUCCUCCAUUUGACUUUCUUUUUUGUCCCAUGUGGUCUACUGAGACAAAUACAUCCCACUUUCUAGGUAUCUUGUUUUCUGUCUUUAAAAUACUGUGAUUACUGUGAGUACAUGUGCGAGUACACAUUUAUUAGAGGAAAC